AAUCAACGCUGGCGGCGUGCCUCAGACAUGCAAGUCGAACGCGAAAGUUCCCUUCGGGGGAUGAGUAGAGUGGCGCACGGGUGAGUAACACGUAGGUAAUCUACCUUUGGAUGGGGAAUAACAACCGGAAACGGUUGCUAAUACCGCAUAAUGCAGCGGCACCUAAUGGUGACAGUUGUUAAAGCGGGGGAUCGAAAGACCUCGCGUCUGAAGAGGAGCCUGCGGCGGAUUAGCAGUUGGUAAGGUAACGGCUUACCAAGGCGACGAUCCGUAGCCGGCCUGAGAGGGCGGUCGGCCACACUGACACUGACAUACGGGUCAGACUCCUACGGGAGGCAGCAGUCGGGAAUUUUGGGCAAUGGGCGAAAGCCUGACCCAGCAACGCCGCGUGAAGGAUGAAAUCCCUCGGGAU
rnacentral:rRNA from 1 species